CUUUACAAAAACACACAGCAGAAUGGAUUUGGCCAGCGAGCUGUUUGCCAGCCUCUGUUCUCGAGCAUCCUCCAGUGGGGAAACACUACUUAAGGGAAAGUCUAAGAAGAAGGGAAACAAAGAAACCUUAGUGUGCCCCGGUUUCCUCUAGAGUCAAAAGCCCACCUUGUAGGGUGAUGGUGAAGAUUGAACAAGCUGAUACAUGCAAUGCACUUAGAGGAGUGCCCGGCACCUGCAUAGAAAACAAACAGAAUUUUUGAAAGCUGAAGACAUUGUUAAGACUGUGGGUUUCCAUUUGAAACGUCAAUUCAAAUCAACCCACAUGUGCUGAGAAUAUCAACUGAGUUUUUGGGACUGAGCUAGUUGCUGAAGAAAACACAACCAUUAUGAAGAUGCAGUGACUGCUUUCAAUGUGUUCAUAAUGUAAUGGAAGUUGGGCAGGACAAAAUAAGUGAAUUUCAUACAAAAUGGAGUUACAAAUGCCAAAAAACUCUAAAAAUGUCAAAUAAUUGUAAAUAGUUAAUAGAUUACCUCUAGAUGGGAGCUCGGAUAAGACUUCAUGGAGGAAAAGGCAUUAGGGAUGUGCUUUAAAGGAAAGGGUCAUGCAUUGUUCAGGAUUCAAUCAAGAAAACAAGCUAAAUACUUCUAACAUGAAGGAUUUAAUUCCAGGAAUUAGUUACAAAAACAAUGACUGGGCAAAGAAAGCAAAACCUGAAGGGCUCUGGGUUGCCUAACCCAGAGAUGAGUAUCUGAAGGAAGAUAUUCCCAUCCCUACAAAUGCAGAAACAAAGAUAAGGUGGUUCCAUCCACAGCCAGGAGCUCAUUCCGUGGCACUUCCAGGAAUGCCACCCAGCUAUUUGGGACUGCCAAAGAGGGGCUGCCACUGGGGACACUCCUGGAACCACAGAGCACUGUCUUGGAACCGCAGCACUGGAGCACCCCUGAUGGGCAGCAUUGGAUGACAGCACUAGUUUGCCAGGCGGGGCAUGGUGUGGCUAGUGCUGGGACCAGGAAGAAGGCUCCAUGCUGUAUCUGCCAAAGACCAGCACAUAGAGUCUACUGAUACCUGCUAGUAGAAAUGAGAAACAAGGGAAAGAAAGAGAAAUUAAGGAGAAGGAAGGAAGGAAGGAAGGAAGGAAGGAAGGAAAGAAAGAAAGAGAAAGAGAGAGGAAGAAGAAAAAAGAAGAAAGAGAAAGAAAGAAAUGAGAAAAAUAAAGAAAGAGAAAAAGAGGAGAGCAUGAGUAGUCUGCAUAGACAAGUCAUGCUGCAGUGAUAAACAAUGGAUGUUUCUUUCUCAUUCACUGUGCAUGGGACUGUUCACCUCUGCUUCAUGACAUCUUUACUCUGGGACACAGGUGGAUGGAGCAGCCUCUUUCUGGAGCAUUGUUGGUCUCAUGACAGGAAACCAUAUGCUGGCUCAAGAGCUGCUGCUUGAAAGUGACACACAUUACUUCCACUCACACUUACAUUUUAUUGGCCAAAGCAAGUCACAUGGCCUUCCAUGGGCUUAACAGGGCGUGCAUGUGUAAUCCUCAGGCAAAGAGGGACACUAAAAUUGGUGGGGAGCCACCCAAUCUACCACAACUAGAGAGUCCCUUGAGCCUCUGCCAUUACUUUACUUUCUCCACUGAGAAGUAAGCUCCUUUUGGUCAAAAGCAUUAUGAUGUGGAAGAUCAUGAGUUACUCAGUAUGCCCAUUGAUGGUGACACUGGUAGAUGCAAGUUUGUUCAGAAUCUAUCAAGAGGAGCAAAUGCAAAUUCAGAAAAUCUUAUAUUCCAGUGAAGACAAUCACUAGCUCCUCCAUCUUAGAAAGGGCUUGGUGUAAUCUACCUGGACAGACAGAGGGUUGAUCCCUUCAGGGAGUCCCUACAUAGCCUCCAUGCCUGUUGCCAUAGUUACAAGUUCAGGAACUGAUUAAACAAGCAUUGAGGUGGUGGGGGAAGGACCCACCUUGGCAUGAAGUCCUUUUGUGACCAUCAUCACGGGAGACAAGUACUCUCACAUUCCAGGCCCAAUUCAGGAGACACAUACCCAACCUCAUUGUUACCAACCUACCAACAACAUGUCAAGUCUCAAUCUGGACAAAUUAUUAACUGCUGCUUGUGAAUUGGUUUGUCAUAAUUCAAGCUCUCUCUUCUUCCAGGCAAAAUGAAUGACAUGGUUAUGUACAGCCUUAAGUUUUGCUCCCAGAAAGAUUUUCCUUCCCUAUUGUCCUUCAGGGCCACACCAAGUGGGGUUUUAAAGCCACAACAAUCUCUAUAUAACCAGGACCUGCACAUCAUGUGCACCAGCUCUAAACCAAUGAUUCAUGUUUCUGUGGUGGCCUGUUCUUAGCAAACUCCCCAUGACAUCAGAGGUGUGAGCUGAGGGUCAUGUAGAUUCCAGCAAGCUGGCAGUGUGAGCUGCCCACUUCUGCAAAUUCCUUGUGCCUUCAGAAGCUGCUCAGGCCUAGUCCCAUAUCUACCACUUGCAUUUGAUGGUGGAACACUGAUGGGUACAUCUGACUUUGUGGUUAGUUGGAUCAAAUAACAGUUGAUGAUAGGCAGCCACGUUACAUGGCCACCUGACGUUUCGUGCCCACACUGCUGGGCACAACUGACUUUAUGAUUAGUUGGAUCAAAUAACACAGUUAGUUCACGAUAAGCAACCAGGUUACAUGGCCACUUGAUGUUUUGUCGUCAGGGGUUCACUUUCUACUAAGGCUCCGUAGCAAGUCCUCAAAAGAAAAUAGUUGUUGAUUGAAAUAGAAUAGCUUUGCUCAAAGACUCUCAGGGCCUUUGCUGUGAUCUCCUGUUGGGGGUUGCAAUAGGCUCCUCACAGAAACUCAAACUGCUGCAAAUACUUCAAGAUCCACUGGACUCCUGAAUCAGAAAGUUGAGUGGUACUGCUAGAUCAGAUGGAGAACUGUCUCUUGUUUGGGUAUCUUACACUAAGUUAAAUUAGCUAAAAGUGAUUCAGAGCAGCACAAUGCAAAUAUAACUCACACCCCACUCAAAAUCCAAAGAGGCGUGCCUAGCUUUUUGCCUCUUGGUAGGAGGUGUCGGGUACAGGGAUGUGCCUUCACCCAGGAGGAGAUAUAUUGACAUGCCCUAGCCCAUUGAAUUUCCCAAGCAAAUUGAAGUAAAAAGACCUUGUAUUUGGGGAGGAGGAUUAUUCCUCUACUCUCUAGGUCCUGAAUCUUACCACACCUAAUUAUGCUUAAAAUAACCUAUAAUAAUGCUUGAAGGUCAUUUGUCUUCUGCAUAUCCCUAUGCAGGGUUAAAUAGGAGUUACAAGUAUAAUAAUUGCAAAAGGAGUAGCUAGCAUUUGUUUUGUGAUUAUCAUUUUCAUCGUGCAUGUAUUAACUCAUUUAAUCAUCACGAUAGCUCUACGAGAUAAACAAUAUUACUAUCCUUAUUUUGAAGGGUCACCAUCCCUGCACCUUCCUUUUCUUUUUCUUUUCUUUCUUUUUUUUUUUUUUUGAGACGGAGUCUCACUCUGUCGCCCAGGCUGGAGUGCAGCAGUGCCAUCUCAGCUCACUGUAAGCUCCGCCUCCUGGGUUUUCGCCAUUCUCCUGCCUCAGCCUCCCGAGUAGCUGGGACUACAGGCGCCCGCCACCAUGCCCAGCUAAUUUUUUUAUUUUUAGUAGAGACGGGGUUUCACUGUGUCAGCCAGGAUGGUCUCGAUCUCCUGCCCUCGUGAAGCGCCUGCCUCGGACUCCCAAAGUGCUGGGAUUACAGGCGUGAGCCACCGCGCCUGGCCUGCACCUUCCAAUUAGCACUAAUCUGCAUGGGUACAUUCCUCCUUCC
rnacentral:lncRNA from 10 species